rnacentral:rRNA from 1 species
UACGUAGGGUGCAGGCGUUAAUCGGAAUUACUGGGCGUAAAGCGUGCGCAGGCGGUUUGCUAAGACAGGUGUGAAAUCCCCGGGCUUAACCUGGGAACUGCGCUUGUAACUGGCAAGCUAGAGUGUGGCAGAGGGGGGUGGAAUUCCAGGUGUAGCAGUGAAAUGCGUAGAGAUCUGGAGGAACACCGAUGGCGAAGGCAGCCCCCUGGGCUAAGACUGACGCUGAGGCACGAAAGCGUGGGGAGCAAACAGG